UCUUUUUUUCAUAUAUUCUAUACUUUUUUGUUAAUAUGACGUUGAAUAUUGUGGUAUUUAAUGUUAAAAAAUUAACAUUUCGGGAUACACGUCACAACAAUAAACCUCCAAUGACCAUGUACAAUGUACAUGAACCUAUAAAUCUCUGAAUUUAUCAAGUUAUAUGCACUCAAAUAGCUAGAAUGGCUUAUUCAAUUAUCAUAAUAAGCAUUUUUGACCAAAUUUGGGAAAUAGAAAUAAGAAAUAUUUUGGAAAUGAUGUUCAAAGCCGUGAUUGUUCAACUUUACUUUUAAAUUAUUUUUACUUGAAUUUUAAAAUACUGAAAUAAGAAGAAUAAAUAUAGUAUGUAGUUUAUUUACAUGGUGAAAGAAGUGAAUCAUUGGAACAAUUCUGUUUCAUAUCAUAUUCCAUAGUUUUGUUUUUUUUUGUUUUCUUUCUUAUUUUUUUUUUUAGUAUUAAAACGACCGAGUAUCGAAAGCAAUGGUAACGAAAUAAGUUGACACCGCGUCUCGUCAAAACAUGUUCAAUUCGAAUUUACUCGGAAUUACACGUUCAACGAGCAUUUGCUGUGAAACCUGAUUAAAGGAAAAUUACUGUAGACACCUAAUAGUGAUUUGUACAGAAGCGAGCCCCGGCAGGAAUGAUGGCCUCUUUUGAAAUGAAGAUUUCAUGCCUUACUCCUACUGGGACUACAACUAACUUUGGACCUGGUCACUCGCAGAUACAGCAUGAAGUGUGCCCUCUUGAUGUACAUGGGGAUGGGAGUGAUACAGAAGGGGGACUAAUUGGAAGAACUGCUGCUGCUGGUGGUGGUGCUGGACUGUCUUGAAUCUGUUGCCUAACCGACUUGAUAUUCUUCUGUUUAAUAUGGGAGCAACACACACACUCUGGCAUAUAUUGCACAGAAAAUCAUGAUCAGAUGGUGCCCUCCCUAUCAGAGUGGUGAUCACUGACCUAUAUUUCUUUGAAAUCCUGGAUCUGUGUUUUGGUUUUACUCUCCAUGGACAGUUGAAACAGAGAAAGAAUUAGGGACCACUCCUUGGCAUAUCUGAAAUAUUUAUGUCAUAUACAUGUAAUUAAAAUAUACAAUUUGAGUUGGAUGAAAAUCUUAUCUUCAUGUUAAAACCCAUUAGCCUAGGUUAUUUUUCCUAAAAUCUAAUUAUAAAUCAAUUAACUUGUUAAUUAAUGCUUGGUGAAUCAAUUAAUAAAUUGUAUUCAAGAACUUGGAAUUAUUUUUUUCCCCACUAAUAAACUGAAAAUGUGUAUCUUCAAAUGUUUUGUUGAUUAAUGUCAGUGUGACAUAUAGAGGGGGUAUGGGGUUUACAACAAUGUAUACAUGGUUAAUUUAUUUCUAUUAUGUAGUCCAUGUAAAUUUCUGUGGAAACGAGGAAGUUAUUUAUAUUCGGUCUUUCCUAUCCCGGGGUAGGAAAGACCGAAUAUAAAUAACCCCCUCGUUUCCACGGAAAUUAAGUCCAUGAGAGCCUGAAAUCUCCCAACCUGGGUCUGUUUAAUGGACCCUUCCAAAGUCCUUUUUUAAGGAAAAAGUAAACCAUUUUCCUAAUCCAAAAAGAAAA